UACGUAGGGUGCGAGCGUUGCCCCGGAUUUAUUGGGCGUAAAGGGCGCGUAGGCGCCACGCCACGUCCGUUGUGAAAUCGCCCCGGCUCAACUGGGCGGGGGUCGGCGGAUACGGCGUGGCUGGAGCAAGCUAGGGGGGCAAUGGAAUUCCCGGUGUAGUGGUGGAAUGCGUAGAUAUCGGGGAGGAACACCAGUGGCGAAGGCGGUUGCCUGGAGCUUUUGCUGACGCUGAGGCGCGAAAACGUGGGGGGACGAGCGG
rnacentral:rRNA from 1 species